rnacentral:rRNA from 1 species
GCGUAACGCGUGGGAAUCUGCCCUUUGCUUCGGAAUAACAGUUAGAAAUGACUGCUAAUACCGGAUGAUGUCUUCGGACCAAAGAUUUAUCGGCAAGGGAUGAGCCCGCGUAGGAUUAGGUAGUUGGUGGGGUAAAGGCCUACCAAGCCGACGAUCCUUAGCUGGUCUGAGAGGAUGAUCAGCCACACUGGGACUGAGACACGGCCCAGACUCCUACGGGAGGCAGCAGUGGGGAAUAUUGGACAAUGGGCGCAAGCCUGAUCCAGCAAUGCCGCGUGAGUGAUGAAGGCCUUCGGGUCGUAAAGCUCUUUUACCAGGGAUGAUAAUGACAGUACCUGGAGAAUAAGCUCCGGCUAACUCCGUGCCAGCAGCCGCGGUAAUACGGAGGGAGCUAGCGUUGUUCGGAAUUACUGGGCGUAAAGCGCACGUAGGCGGCGACACAAGUCAGAGGUG